GAUGAACGCUGGCGGCGUGCCUAAUACAUGCAAGUCGAGCGAACAGACGAGGAGCUUGCUCCUCUGACGUUAGCGGCGGACGGGUGAGUAACACGUGGAUAACCUACCUAUAAGACUGGGAUCACUUCGGGAAACCGGAGCUAAUACCGGAUAAUAUAUUGAACCACAUGGUUGAAUAGUGAAAGACGGUUUUGCUGUCACUUAUAGAUGGAUCUGGGCCGCAUUAGCUAGUUGGUAGGGUAACGGCUUUCCAAGGCAACGAUGCGUAGCCGACGUGAGAGGGGGGUCGGCGACAUGGGAAGGGAGACACGGACCAGACUCCUAAGGGAGGCAGCAGUAGGGAAUCUGCCGCAGUGGGCGAAAGCCUGACGGAGCAAGGCCGCGUGAGUGAUGAAGGUCUUCGGAGCGUAAAACUCUGUUAUUAGGGAAGAACAAAUGUGUAAGUAACUAUGCACGGCUUGACGGUAACUAAUCAGAAAGCAACGGCUAACUACGUG
rnacentral:rRNA from 1 species